AAAACGUCACCGUUUACUGAGCAGGUACUACGUAUGACUAGCCCUGGGCCUCCCUUGACUUCUCAAGGGUUUUGGGACGCGGAGAUGCUCACACAUGUUUUGGUGCAGUGAACUCUGGCCAGAAGUUAAGGAACUGGGUUCUCGGUUGUACACCCUGAGAAGGGGAGGAUGAUUUACAGUCCAAAGCCGCGGGUUUCUUUGUCCACGCUGUUCUACCUCCAAACUCCUGAUGCCCAUGGGGUGCAAUUUGAUGAGUUUGGACAUUCUCCAUGACGCCAUCACUACAAUCAAGGUAAUGGACGUAUCCACACUCUGACUCCCCGAAAUGGCGUCUCCCUCCCACCUACCUCUGGGCUCCACCCCCUGCGUAGGCAAACAAACUACAGCAGCAAAGCCAUCGGAGAGCAAAAGAGCAUGCCGUUCUCAGACAACACUGAAAAUUCUCAUCGCCCAGAGUUCGAGGAGCUGGUGAGGGCUUGAAGGAGAGUCAGAUCCCUAAGGGAUCUCUGCUCAGUGCUUUUCCUUAUAUAUGCGGCAAGCCAGAAGAGGUUUUAAAUCAAGAGGACAAUACCGGAUCCGCGCUUGAAACGAUAUUCUGGUGGCGGUGGGUUGGAUGGACUGGACGGUCAUUGAAACAGUCAAGACAAAAGGAGCUUGAGAGACGGAGAUAGAUGAUCACUUAGCAGGAUCAAGGUUUGGGAGUUGGGGAUGUGUUCAAGGGGUUCUUAGAAGAAUUACUCCUCAGCAUGAAGGGACCAAUGGAGAGGGAGCAAGGAGCCAUCGUGAUACUGGAUGAAAAUUUUCUGGUAUCUGACGUUAAUCAACUAGUAAACUGAAUGAGGAUCAUUCCAUUAACUCUGUUGGCAAAAAGACAAUCGUAAUGAAGAGUACCACCCAAGGAAGACGUAUGUCAUCCUCUUACUUGAAACCUUCCUGUGACUUAGGACAUCACCGCUGUAUUUAAAAGAACACACUACUGGGAGCCCUCGCCAAAGAUCAACAUUCAUUAGCAACCCUACAAUAACAGCCCACAAGUGUGAAGACCGCCUGUGAUUGAGGAAGACGAUUUCAGUGAGGAACGAGACUCUCAUUUCCAACUCUCACAAGGUUGUCACGACGGCCAGAGAAUGAAAACACUUUUACGUUUCAAAUUUACGAAAGAGCCCUCACCACCACCACCACCGUCAUCACCCAUCAGUCCAUCCAGGAAAGCACUUGCAGCUGAGUUCAUCUCUUCUUUGAACUUCAAGACAAACGGGUAGCCAGGGACAAAGGUGAUGGGGGAAGGGGGCGGAUUCUGAUGAUUUCUUUGCAAAACGCAAAUGAAAAAUAAGCUUUCAGAGA